GGGGAAUAUUGGGCAAUGGGCGAAAGCCUGACCCAGCGACGCCGCGUGGGCGAUGAAGGCCUUCGGGUUGUAAAGCCCUUUCGUGCGGAAAGAAUAGUCCCGUGGUGAAUAUCCGCGGGAUUUGACGGUACCGCAGGAAGAAGCACCGGCUAACUCCGUGCCAGCAGCCGCGGUAAUACGGAGGGUGCAAGCGUUGUUCGGAAUUAUUGGGCGUAAAGGGCGCGUAGGCGGUUGUGAUAGUCAGAUGUGAAAUCCUCCGGCUUAACUGGAGAACUGCAUCUGAAACUUCAUAGCUAGAGUACAGGAGAGGGAAACGGAAUUCCCGGUGUAGAGGUGAAAUUCGUAGAUAUCGGGAGGAACACCAGUGGCGAAGGCGGUUUCCUGGCCUGAUACUGACGCUGAGGCGCGAAAGCGUGGGGAGCAAAC
rnacentral:rRNA from 1 species